UAGCCACUAAAAUAUAGGCUACCUAUAGGCUACCAGGUAACAUCUUAAUUUCACCUUUUUUUCAUUGAGGUAAAGUCUUGUGCUGCCAUCUUGAAAUCCAACGUGUUCAAUGUGUCUUAGCUGCUAGCGCAUUAGCUGCAUCACUCCUCCUCCAGACCACUGUGCAGCGCUGUCUGAAUUCCACUAUGCAGAGAGAAGCCCCUCUGGUGGCACGCUUGACACAUGCAGAACACAGGCAUGGUUUUAGCCAGUGUAUCCCAGUCAGGGUACAGCUUGCUGAACUCAUAGAUAAGCACUUUGCAUGCUGCUGCAAAAGUUAAACCCCCAUAACCGUGAAGCGCCAUUAUCAGUGUCACUAUAUCUCAAUGUGUGCGCUUGGAAUCCAUGAGAGGGGGAAAAAAAUACUGUUUCACUGUCAGAACAGAAAUGUCCUGUUUAGGGAUAGGUUUUAAUUUAUUGUUGUUUAAUACAAUUUACCAGGCAAAACAACUGUAAUUACCGACUAACGGAAACCCUGGUGUCUUCGUUUGUGUGUCUUUUCCUGCAAUUUGUUCAUAUUGUAGACAUUACGAGCUGGGUUUGUUUAUGUAGGUUAUGUACAGUAGGAUGCUUUAUUUCUAAGCCUAUUGAGCUCAGGCUAGGCUUUGAGCAUGUGGUAUUUCCUCUGUUCCGCUUCUGAUAAAAGAAAAGUGCAUAUGAUGACGCAUUGUGCUCGAGCAUCCUGCUUUUACAUCUUCUCUGAAUGGCCUGGCUGCGUCUGAUAUCCGCGCAGUGGGUUACCCUGCUAUUAAAUACAAGAGGCCAUUUGAAGCACUAGACGUGAGGACAGUGUGCUCAGCAGCAGUUCUCCACUCGGUGUGGAUACCUUCAAACUCCAGGGUUGCAUGUGUUGUGUUCAGAUAUGAAUGUAUUAAUGUUAUGUAGAUGAUCAGGGGAGAUGGUGGUGAAGGAGGCAGUGAUGGAGACAGAGAUAGUGCUGCCGGUGACAUGCCUUCGUGACCCGAGGCACAUUACUGUGAGCCCA
ensembl:lncRNA